GUUCAUCCAAAAUUCUAAAGUAUAAAGAACAAAAUAAGAGUUAAGUUUAAAAACCGAGUCAAAUGGGUAUUCUUUUUAUUAAAUGGGUCAAAUGGGUAAUUCUUGUAUAUAAUAAACAAAAAAAAUAUGGGACACGUGUCACUUGAUUAGGGCCUCUAUUAUUUGGUUUAGGCGAGAAAUGGAAUGGGUUUUUUAUUAGCAUAUCAAGAUGGUCCGUUUGUAUUUGGAUUCAGUAUUCGGAUCCAUAUAUAUUCUUACAAAAAAAUAAUCUUUAUCAAUGGCCUUUCAUUUCCUUAUACCUCUCUUCUUACCAUCGCAUCCGCCGCCUCCUCUUCAAAUCCUUCUCAUCUUCAAUGAAUCAUCUUCUAUCUGUUCUUCUCAAGAUCUGCCUCCGCCGCACUUUAAUGUUAUCAUUAACGGUGAUAUUUCAAGCGAAGAUCCGAUAGCAUAAAGGGUUAAAAAUAUCAUCAACGGUUUCAAGUGAAGAUCCGAUAGCAUAAAGUUCGAGUGAUGUGUAGGGUUCCGAUUGACCUGGUAUAUAUUCCGAAGCAAAUGCAGAAUGACUUAGAAAGACACGAGGGAUCCGCUAUCUGAGAUAAGGGAACCGAAGAAACAGAUAUUUGCAAUUUAGAUCAUCACCUGUGAUUCAUCAAGAUCAGUAGAAUCCAACUAUUCCGGCUGCCGAAAGUACGCCGUAUAAAAUCGAAUAAUAUCCCACGACAAGGGGUUCACCAUGGGCUUAUCGGAAUCGACUCUUAUAAAUUCACAUGUCUCCACUCUUAAACCUAAAUCACUCACUCGAGCAAAUUUAUAAAAAUCAAGUAAUUUAAUAACCCUGUUUUUUGUUUUAGUGAAGAAUAACGACGAUGGAAUCACCAUCGUUAGUGAUUAAGAGUUGUGUAUCCUGCACUGGAAAAGCUUACACUUGGACCCCUUAUAAUAAUGAGUUUCAUUAAUUAGAAUUUUACCCCUCUAAGAUGUUCAUAUACAGAAUUGAAUACCGGAAUGAAUAGUAUAGGGCACCGGAAUGAACCGGUAGAACAACCGGCGACACCGGAACGGUACGGUAAGAAGGCUGAAAAGCUGCAGUGUCUCGGCGCUUGCGUGUCAUCGAAUAAUAAAAACGCCUACCAGCCUUCUCCGAACCUAAUUCCGACACCGAUUUCGAUCCGACAGGUACACAAUUCUGAUUUUGGUUUGUUGUUUUAUCCCGUAUAUUUGUAAGGCUUUAAAGUUUGUUGAAGCCAUUGAACCACCUAAUCUUGAAAAAAAAUCUAUAUUCAUGCACCCUUAUGUUUGUAGGGAGGGGCUCGUGCGAGAACCACCCUUAUUGUGAGAACCUUGAGAACCAAUGUGAACACAACCUAAAAUAGCUAAAAAAACCUA